rnacentral:rRNA from 1 species
UACGAAGGGGGCUAGCGUUGCUCGGAAUGACUGGGCGUAAAGGGCGCGUAGGCGGAUGGCACAGUCAGAUGUGAAAUUCCCGGGCUUAACCUGGGGGCUGCAUUUGAUACGGGUUGUCUUGAGUUCGGGAGAGGGUCGUGGAAUUCCCAGUGUAGAGGUGAAAUUCGUAGAUAUUGGGAAGAACACCGGUGGCGAAGGGGGCGCACUGGUCCGACACUGACGCUGAGGCGCGAAAGCGUGGGGAGCAAACAGG